GUGUCAGGUCCGACGGUGCCCCGACCGGCGACCUGUGUGUAUGUGUGUGUUUGUUCUCUCGCUCUGUUUUUGUCUCCGGCUCCGCUGCAGUUGUUACGCGGUUGCGUAGCAACGGGAGAUCUCCGACCCGGAAGUGCUGCCACUCUGAGCUGUCCCACCUGCGACUGAUUCCUCGCCAGCUGCUGCCAAUCUUCCACCAUCGUUGGCAGAGCUAUUUAAUGGUGUGGCUGAGUGACAGACAGCGCUGGAGUAUUCCACCAAGCCUGGAAACGAGCGAGACGGAAAGACGAGAGGAGAGACGUCACUAUUCACGAGAGUUGUGUGGACACAUGAGGGGAGCACUGAAGGGACUUUGCACUGUGGAUAACUGUGGAUUGGCUUCACUGUAAAUAAAGACACUGUUCAACUUUAA